CUCACUAAACAAGUAAGUCGCUCUGGAUAAGAGCGUCUGCUAAAUUACUUAAA
rfam:Salmo salar isolate Sally breed double haploid chromosome ssa04, whole genome shotgun sequence.